rnacentral:tRNA from 1 species
AGGGGGGUAGAGAAGUAGUAACUCGGGAGGCUCAUAACCUCCAGACCUAGGUGCAAUUCCUAGCCCCCCUA